rnacentral:lncRNA from 1 species
CCUAUUUUGCAUAUAUCUACACCAUCUAUGGUGAUAAAACCUUCUGUAGGCUCUAUAACCCUAAAAAUGGCUUGUAUAAGAGUUGACUUUCCGCUUCCUGUUCUACCAACAACACCGACUUUCUUCUUUCCUGGAAAUGUGCAGGUAAUGUUUUUCAAGACAGAAGGGAGAUGAUCUGCGUAUCGAAUCUGCAUAAAAAAAUUGACACAAUUUCGGUUUUCUUUUAGUUUAUAUUGAUUUCGAAUUUGCAGAAUUGAAGAAGCUUAAUUGUUUAUACCUGCAAAUUCGUGAAAGAAAUUGUUCCGUUUUGUGGCCAUUGGCUUGAGGGUCGAGAAUCCUCGAUCACAAGAGGCGCUUCACUGGUAAGAUUUGAAUACUGCAACACUCUUUCCACUGAGAUCAUUUUGUUUUCUGCAUUGCAUAUAUUCCAUAUAACAGAAGCUUGCUGAACAUUUAGAUUGAUCCCAUAAGUCACUGCUAAUCCUGCAAUGCCUGCGAUGACAAAAAAAACACACAUUCGAAUUCGAUUCAACUUUCAUAAUUUGGGGAUCGUGAUAAACAAAUAAUCCAUUUUUGUGAAAUUAUGAACUCACUUGGAUUAAUGAUUCCAUCAGGAAGAGUAACAAGGAGAAUGAGUGAGAACGCAAAGACGAAAUUUGAUAACUGGUUCAAUCUGAAACAAAGCCACUCGAUUGCUGCGACAUUAUGAAACCAUGGUCUCGAGUGAUUAUCAAUCAAAUAAAGAUUUUUCUCAAUAAACCG